rnacentral:rRNA from 1 species
UGCCUGUACCAUAACCGACACAGGUGGGUAGGUAGAGUAUACUAAGGGGCGCGAGAUAACUCUCUCUAAGGAACUCGGCAAAAUGACUCCGUAACUUCGGGAGAAGGAGUGCCUUAUUUAUAAGGUUGCAAUAACAAGAUCCAAGCAACUGUUUAUCAAAAACACAGGUCUCCGCUAAGUCGUAAGACGAUGUAUGGGGGCUGACGCCUGCCCAGUGCCAGAAGGUUAAAGAAGUUGGUUAGUGUAUGCGAAGCUGAUGACUGAAGCCCUGGUGAACGGCGGCCGUAACGAUAACGGUCCUAAGGUAGCGAAAUUCCUUGUCGGGUAAGUUCCGACCCGCACGAAAGGCGUAAUGAUUUGGAUACUGUCUCGGAGAGAGGCUCGGUGAAAUAGACUUGUCUGUGAAGAUGCGGACUACCUGCACCAGGACAGAAAGACCCUAUGAAGCUUUACUGUAACUUGAAAUUGGGAUUGGACUUUGCUUGCGCAGUAUAGGUGGGAAGCGUUGAAGAUAUUCUUGCGGGAGUAUUGGAGCUAUCAGUGAGAUACCACUCUUGUAAUGUUAGAUUUCUAACUUUGAACCAUAAUCUGGUCAAAGAACAGUUUCAGGUGGGCAGUUUGACUGGGGCGGUCGCCUCCCAAAUGGUAACGGAGGCGUACAAAGGUUUCCUCUGAACGGAUAGAAAUCGUAUCUAGAGUGUAAAGGCAUAAGGAAGCUUGACUGUGAGACCUACAAGUCGAGCAGGGACGAAAGUCGGUCUUAGUGAUCUGACGGUACUGAGUGGAAAGGCCGUCACUCAACGGAUAAAAGUUACUCUAGGAUAACAGGCUGAUCUCCCCCAAGAGUUCACAUCGACGGGGAGGUUUGGCACCUCGAUGUCGGCUCAUCGCAUCCUGGGGCGGUAGUACGUCCCAAGGGUUGGGCUGUUCGCCCAUGAAAGCGGUACGCGAGCUGGGUUCAGAACGUCGUGAGACAGUUCGGUCCAUAUCCGGUGUAGGCGUUAGAAUAUUGAGAGGAGCCUUCUUUAGUACGAGAGGACCGAGAAGGACACACCGCUGGUGUACCAGUUAUCGUGCCAACGGUAAACGCUGGGUAGCUAUGUGUGGAGUGGAUAACCGCUGAAAGCAUCUAAGUGGGAAGCCCACCUCAAGAUGAGUAUUCUCAUCACUAUAAGUGAGUAAGGUCACGGUAAGACUAACCGUUUGAUAGGCAUUAAGUGUAAAUGAAGUAAUGCAUGUGCUGAGAUGUCCUAACAGACCGAGGAC